UGGCAUGCUCCGUACUCUGCUGCACUGAUAGAUUUUAAGGGCCGCGGUAUUUUGACCGUGCGAAGGUAGCGUAAUCAUUAGUUUUUUAAUUGGAAUCUUGUAUGAAUGGUUAGACAAAAGAAAGCCUGUCUCUGUACUAAAUAUUGAAUUUAACUUUUAAGUGAAAAGGCUUAAGUGAGUUAAAGGGACGAUAAGACCCUAUAAAGCUUAAUAUAAAGUAUUAUUUGGUUGAAUUAGAUAUAAGAAUCUUAUAAUAUAGUUUAUUUUAUUGGGGCGAUAAAGGUAGAAUGUUUAAUAACUGCUUUUAAAAAAACACAUGAUUAGUUGAAAUAAAAAGAAAAAGAUCCUAAAUAAAGAUUUAAAGUUUAAGUUACUUUAGGGAUAACAGCGUUAUUUUUUUUGAGAGUACUUAUCGAAAAAAAAGUUUGCGACCUCGAUGUUGAAUUAAAAUUUCUUUAUAGAAGCAGAAACUAUAAAAGUUGGUCUGUUCGACCUUUAAAAUUUUACGUGAUCUGAGUUCAGAACCGGGGGGAUUAUCUAAUCUCCAACCCAUUUAUCGCUUU
rnacentral:rRNA from 1 species